GAGUUCCGGGGGCCAGGCGGACGCCGCGAGUCUGGUAUCCUGAGCUUCGUGAGUUGAGCGCUGCUGCUUCCGCAGUGGAGUCACCACAUCGCUCCCAUGAUCGUGGUGUUCUACUUCACCAGGAGCAGCGUUAAUUCAUCUGCCUACACUAUUUACAUGGGAAAAGAUAAAUAUGAAAAUGAAGAUCUGAUCAAGCAUGGCUGGCCUGAAGAUAUCUGGUUUCAUGUGGACAAACUCUCUUCAGCUCAUGUAUACCUUCGAUUACAUAAGGGAGAGAAUGUAGAAGACAUUCCAAAGGAAGUGCUGAUGGACUGUGCCCACCUUGUGAAGGCCAAUGGCCUUGAAGGCUGCAAGAUGAACAACGUUAAUGUGGUAUAUACUCUGUGAUCUAACCUGAAGAAAACAGCUGACAUGGAUGUGGGGCAGAUAGGCUUUCACAGGCAGAAGGAUGUAAAAAUUGUGACAGUGGAGAAGAAAGUAAACGAGAUCGUGAGCCGAUUAGAAAAGACUAAAGUGGAGCGGUUCCCAGACCUAGCAGCAGAGAAAGAAUGCAGAGAUCGUGAAGAGAGGAAUGAGAAAAAAACCCAAAUUCAGGAAAUGAAAAGGAGAGAAAAAGAAGAAAUUAAGAAGAAAAGGGAAAUGGAUGAACUUAGGAGCUAUUCAUCACUAAUGAAAGUUGAAAAUAUGUCUUCAAAUCAGGAUGGCAAUGAUUCAGAUGCAUCAUGUAAAAGGAGGAAAGGACCUUUGAAAGAUGUGAAUGUAGAGACAAUUGCAGACCUUUUGGUUUCAUCCGUGUUCUGA